GACGAACGCUGGCGGCGUGCCUAAUACAUGCAAGUCGAACGGUCUUUUCUAUGGAAGCUUGCUUCCACUGAGAAGAUAGUGGCGAACGGGUGAGUAACACGUGGGUAACCUGCCCAUAAGAGGGGGAUAACAUCCGGAAACGGGUGCUAAUACCGCAUAGUUUUCUUGAUCGCAUGAUCGAGAAAGGAAAGACGGCCUUUGUGCUGUCGCUUAUGGAUGGACCCGCGGCGUAUUAGUUAGUUGGUGAGGUAACGGCUCACCAAGACGAUGAUACGUAGCCGACCUGAGAGGGUGAUCGGCCACAUUGGGACUGAGACACGGCCCAAACUCCUACGGGAGGCAGCAGUAGGGAAUCUUCCGCAAUGGACGAAAGUCUGACGGAGCAACGCCGCGUGAGUGAAGAAGGUUUUCGGAUCGUAAAACCCUGUUGUCAGAGAAGAACAAGUCGGAGAGUAACUGCUCCGGCCUUGACGGUAUCUGACCAGAAAGCCACGGCUAACUACGUGCCAGCAGCCGCAGUAACAC
rnacentral:rRNA from 1 species